UACGAAGGGGGCUAGCGUUGCUCGGAAUUACUGGGCGUAAAGGGCGCGUAGGCGGAUGUUUUAAGUCGGGGGUGAAAGCCCGGGGCUCAACCUCGGAAUUGCCUUCGAUACUGGACAUCUUGAGUACGGGAGAGGUGAGUGGAACUCCGAGUGUAGAGGUGAAAUUCGUAGAUAUUCGGAAGAACACCAGUGGCGAAGGCGACUCACUGGCCCGUUACUGACGCUGAGGCGCGAAAGCGUGGGGGAGCAAACAGG
rnacentral:rRNA from 1 species